UCACAGAGAAUAAAUUUGUCUAUAGUUC
rnacentral:piRNA from 1 species